rnacentral:rRNA from 1 species
AGAGUUUGAUCCUGGCUCAGGACGAACGCUGGCGGCGUGCUUAACACAUGCAAGUUGAACGGGCGAUGUUGGAAGCUUGCUGAAGACAUCGUUAGUAGCGGACGGGUGAGUAAUGCAUGAGGACCCGCCUUCCGGAGGGGGACAACAGUUGGAAACGGCUGCUAAUACCCCGUAUGCCGAGAGGUGAAAGGGAUGGAGACAUCCCGCCGGGAGAGGGACUCAUGUCCUAUCAGCUUGUUGGUGAGGUAACGGCUCACCAAGGCGACGACGGGUAGCCGGCCUGAGAGGGCGAACGGCCACACUGGAACUGAGAGACGGUCCAGACUCCUACGGGAGGCAGCAGUGGGGAAUAUUGGGCAAUGGGGGCAACCCUGACCCAGCGACGCCGCGUGAGGGAAGAAGGCCUUCGGGUCGUAAACCUCUUUUGUACGGGAAGAAGAAGAUGACGGUACCGUACGAAGAAGUCCCGGCUAACUACGUGCCAGCAGCCGCGGUAAUACGUAGGGGACGAGUGUUGUCCGGAAUUACUGGGCGUAAAGGGCGCGCAGGCUGCGCGUCGAGUCGGCUGUCAAAGAUCCGGGCUUAACCCGGUGAAGCGGUCGAGACCGACGAGCUGGAGUGCUGCAGAGGCAAGUGGAAUUCCCGGUGUAGCGGUGAAAUGCGUAGAUAUCGGGAAGAACACCGGUGGCGAAGGCGACUUGCUGGGCAGCAACUGACGCUGAGGCGCGAAAGCCAGGGGAGCGAACGGGAUUAGAUACCCCGGUAGU